GUCCGCAAGGACAAUUGAUAAUUGCCUCAAAUCAGUACGUCGCACCUUCCUACAAAAA
rnacentral:rRNA from 1 species